rnacentral:rRNA from 1 species
UGCCUUAUACGGUGAAGCCGCGAAUAGCUCAUUACAACAGCCAUCGUUUACUAGAAAAUAUUUAUCCUACUUGGAUAACUGUGGCAAUUCUAGAGCUAAUACAUGCAAAAAAGCUCAGACUGAAAGGAAUGAGCGCAUUUAUUAGAAUAAAAACCAAUCGGGUCUAAAAGCCCGCUGUUUGGUGAAUCUGAAUAACUUUGCUGAUCGCACGGUCUAGUACCGGCGACGUAUCUUUCAAGUGUCUGCCUUAUCAACUUUCGAUGGUAGGUUAUACGCCUACCAUGGUAGUAACGGGUAACGGAGAAUAAGGGUUCGACUCCGGAGAGGGAGCCUGAGAAACGGCUACCACAUCCAAGGAAGGCAGCAGGCGCGCAAAUUACCCACUUCCAGAACGGAGAGGUAGUGACGAAAAAUAACGAGACAGUCCUCUCUGAGGUCUGUCAUCGGAAUGGGUACAAUUUAAAUCCUUUAACGAGGAUCUAUUGGAGGGCAAGUCUGGUGCCAGCAGCCGCGGUAAUUCCAGCUCCAAUAGCGUAUAUUAAAGUUGUUGCGGUUAAAACGCUCGUAGUUGAAUCUGCGGCCUGGGAGAAUGGACCCCCGAAAGGGUGGUAACUGUUACUCCUAGCCUAAAUUUUUAGUCUACUCUAUGGUGCCUUUAACCGGGUGCUUAGAGUGACUGGAACGUUUACUUUGAAAAAAUUAGAGUGCUUAAAGCAGGCGAAUUUGCCUGAAUAAGGUGCAUGGAAUAAUGGAAUAGGACCUCGGUUCUAUUUUGUUGGUUUUCGGAGCCUGAGGUAAUGAUUAAGAGGAACAGACGGGGGCAUUCGUAUUCCGGCGCUAGAGGUGAAAUUCUUGGACCGCCGGAAGACGGACGACUGCGAAAGCAUUUGCCAAGAAUGUUUUCAUUAAUCAAGAACGAAAGUUAGAGGUUCGAAGGCGAUCAGAUACCGCCCUAGUUCUAACCGUAAACGAUGACAACCAGCGAUUAGUCGGCGUUAAUAUAUGACCCGACUAGCAGCUUCCGGGAAACCAAAGUUUUUCGUUUCCGGGGGAAGUAUGGUUGCAAAGCUGAAACUUAAAGGAAUUGACGGAAGGGCACCACCAGGAGUGGAGCCUGCGGCUUAAUUUGACUCAACACGGGAAAACUCACCCGGCCCGGACACCGUAAGGAUUGACAGACUGAGAGCUCUUUCUUAAUUCGGUGGGUGGUGGUGCAUGGCCGUUCUUAGUUGGUGGAGCGAUUUGUCUGGUUAAUUCCGAUAACGAACGAGACUCUGGCCUAUUAAAUAGCCGGUAUAUAUUGAAAAGUUUGCCGCGCUUCUUAGAGGGACAACCGGCGUCUAGCCGCGUGAAAUAGAGCAAUAACAGGUCUGUGAUGCCCUUAGAUGUCCGGGGCUGCACGCGCGCUACACUGAAAGAAUCAGUAUGCGCAUUCGCCUAGUUCGGAAGAACCGGGUAACCCUAGCAAAUUCUUUCGUGCUUGGGAUAGGGAAUUGCAAUUAUUUCCCUUGAACGAGGAAUUCCCAGUAAAUGCGGGUCAUAAGCUCGCGUUGAUUACGUCCCUGCCCUUUGUACACACCGCCCGUCGCUACUACCGAUUGGAUGACUUAGUGAGGUCUUAGGACCGAGGUGAUGGAGCUUUCAUUAGUUCUUUUGCUUUGGAAAUUUGAUCGAACUACGUUAUCUAGAG